rnacentral:rRNA from 1 species
GUGAGGAAUAUUGCGCAAUGGGGGCAACCCUGACGCAGCAACGCCGCGUGAGUGAGGAAGGUUUUCGGACCGUAAAGCUCUGUCGAGCGGGAAGAAAUGCAUGGUGGCUAAUAUCCAUCAUGCUUGACGGUACCGCUAAAGGAAGCACCGGCUAACUCCGUGCCAGCAGCCGCGGUAAUACGGGGGGUGCGAGCGUUGUUCGGAAUUAUUGGGCGUAAAGAGCGUGUAGGCGGCCGAAUAAGUCAGAUGUGAAAUCCCUGGGCUUAACCCAGGACGUGCAUUUGAAACUAUUCGGCUAGAGUAGGGGAGAGGAAAGUGGAAUUCCUGGUGUAGAGGUGAAAUUCGUAGAUAUCAGGAGGAACACCGGUGGCGAAGGCGACUUUCUGGCCCUAUACUGACGCUGAGACGCGAGAGCGUGGGUAGCAAACAGGAUUAGAAACCCGAGUAGUCC